rnacentral:lncRNA from 1 species
CUGCACUUUUUAAUGUUGAUGAGUCUCACAUAUUUAAAAAAUCCUCUUGUUACUAAACUUUGGAGCCCAUAGUCUAUUAAACUUUCAUUUAUUAAAUCCUGCAUUAGUUCAACAAAAAAGUCUGCAUAUAAUCACUUGAACCACCUCGGAUACCAUUCUGUACAUGAAUAUAUCUCUCAUAACAUUUUUCAUAUAAAUUGCUGAUUCCAGGUAUUAAAAUUUUUAUCCUCCAGUAAAAUUAUUCCUCUGACAGGAUGUGUUGUCUACUGAAAAUGAAAUAUUUUGUUAUUAAAUUAAGUUUGUUAAUUCAAUCAAAAAGUAAUGAAGAAUGAUAAGUAUAAUAUAUUGUAUUUCAUUGUUAUUGCCAUCUAUGACCUCAAUACAGUCUGCUCAAGUCAUUCUCUUCUCUAAAAAAA